CCAAAGUCGCGGGCUGCGGUAGGUCGUGCCACACGGGGGCGCCACGAUCGCAGUCGAACAUUUCCCGCCACGCGACCUCACACACAUUUUCUUUGAAAAUUCGUGUAAUUGCAAAGAAAAAAGUGAAUCUACGCGCUUUCGGUGAUUUCGGCGUGUGCGUUGUGAUUGAUGUUUUACAUAUCUGACUCUAUUUUUUUACACCAAUUUUCUGUACAAUUAGUAGAGUUACGAACGUGAUCGCACUAGUGAAACGAAAAUUUCGGCGUUUCAAGUAGUAAGGAUUGCGUGCGCCGCUUGCGGGACUGAACUUACAGAUAUAACGACACCGUUCAUGUCACAAGCAGGGGAUAAAAUCGAUAGAUCAAUACAACCGAUGAUAUUACUGACCGAAUCGGUUAUCGAAUAUUAUUUACUAGAUAUAAGAGUAAUGAGAAUCCGUCCAAACUAAGAUAUAUUCGAGUAUUUUAUAACAGUAUUUUAAGUAGAUAUCAAUGAGCGGGUUAAGUUCGCGAGAUAGUAUAUCAAGAAUCAUGGCGUUCAAUUUGAGGAGUCUCAGGAUACUGGCUGUGGUGGCGCUGGUGUUCGUCUCUCGGAAUAGUGCUGCUCCGGCCUUCGGAGAAACCGACAAGGCUAUGGUUAACGACGAUGCCUACUUUCAGAUGUACCUGGCGCAAUAUGGGUACCUGAGUCCUUCAGUACGGAACCCUUCCAGCGGUCACAUCAUGGACGAAUCAUCGUGGAAGCGAGCCAUUAUGGAGUUCCAGAGCUUCGCUGGACUUAAUACCACGGGCGAGUUGGACGAGGAGACGACCAAAGUGAUGUCACUGCCGAGGUGUGGUGUCAGAGAUAAGGUGGGCUUCGGGGAGACUCGUGCCAAGAGAUACGCGCUCCAAGGUUCAAGAUGGCGCGUGAAGAACCUGACGUACAAAAUCGCCAAGUACCCAUCAAGACUGAACCGCGCCGAGGUGGACGCUGAGCUCGCUAAGGCCUUCUCCGUAUGGUCCGACUACACGGACCUCACCUUCACGCAGAAAAGGACCGGACAAGUCCACAUUGAAAUUAGGUUUGAAAAGGGAGAGCAUGGAGAUGGUGAUCCGUUCGAUGGGCCCGGUGGUACUCUUGCGCAUGCAUAUUUCCCGGUAUACGGAGGUGAUGCUCACUUCGACGAUGCAGAGAUGUGGUCUAUCAAUUCGAGGAGGGGAACCAAUCUUUUCCAGGUAGCGGCGCAUGAGUUCGGGCACUCGCUAGGUCUGUCCCACAGCGACGUGAGGUCUGCACUGAUGGCUCCCUUCUACCGCGGCUACGACCCUGCCUUCCAACUUGACCAGGAUGAUGUCCAGGGCAUUCAGGCGCUAUACGGGCGGAAGACCCAAACGGACAUCGGUGGUGGAGGCGCCAGCGUACCAUCUGUGCCGCGCGCCACCACGCAGCAACCCUCGGCUGAAGACCCCGCGCUCUGUGCCGACCCCAACAUUGAUACCAUUUUCAAUUCCGCUGACGGUGCCACAUUUAUCUUCAAAGGCGAGCACUAUUGGAGGCUGACAGAGGACGGCGUUGCGGCCGGAUACCCCCGCCUCAUCUCCCGCGCCUGGCCUGGCCUCCCCGGCAACAUCGAUGCAGCUUUCACCUACAAGAACGGCAAGACCUACUUCUUCAAGGGGUCCAAGUACUGGAGGUACAAUGGACAGAAGAUGGACGGCGAGUAUCCUAAGGAAAUCAGUGAAGGCUUCACGGGCAUCCCAGACAACUUAGACGCCGCUUUGGUCUGGUCUGGCAACGGCAAGAUCUACUUCUACAAAGGCUCUAAGUUCUGGAGGUUCGACCCGGCGCAAAGGCCACCGGUCAAGGGCACAUACCCUAAACCUCUGUCGAACUGGGAAGGCAUUCCUGAUAACAUUGAUGCAGCUCUCCAAUAUACUAAUGGAUAUACAUACUUCUUUAAGGGAGGCUCCUACUGGCGGUUUAAUGAUAGAACUUUCAGUGUGGACACAGACAACCCAGCGUUCCCGCGUUCGACGGCGUACUGGUGGUUGGGCUGCACCAGUGCUCCGAAAGGCACCGUCGGAGGUAGUGCCAAGCUCACGCUCCCGCCGUUGUCAGACGACGACGUGGGCGACAUACAGUUCGACGCAGGUGUAAAAUCAUCCGCUCCCAGAUCAUUCUUCUGGUUCAGGAAAUAGCCUCGGUGGAGAGUUCCUGAACAUUGUACAUAAAGAAAUUGCAUAAAGAACAAAGACUCAAUUAGUAACAUAGGAGAAUAUAUGCGAAUACCAGUGAGAUUAUAGACAUAAGCGGUGAUUUUAGUACCGGCGAGCUUAUCACGCGCUGCCUAUGCCGCGGAGACGUCUGGCGAUUCAGGGAAUAGAAGUGGGGCGUCAAGUUCACAGUUGUCGCUAGCGGCCGCGCUGAUGGCGUUGGCUGUUGCGCUGCGGGCGCGCCGUUAGCGACGCCGCGACCCCGCGACCCCGCGACCCAUCGACCCCGCGACCCCGCGACCCCGCCCCGCGACCCGGCCAGCCCCCGACUGUGGCUGUGCGUGAGGUCACCGACUGUGAUCGUGCGUUGUGUGCCUGACUGCGUUCGGUAUAUUGUGUAUAGCGAACGCCAUGCUGUGAUGAAGAAUGUGUCUUUUUAUACUAUUGCGCGAACGAUAAUUUAAUGAGAAGUCAUAGUUUUUAUACUUAUUAUAAAUAGAUGAUGUAAGCACGAGUGUGAUAUUGAUGUAAGCGAAGAUUUUUGUAUUAAAAUAUUUAAACUGCCA